UACGUAGGGUGCAAGCGUUGUCCGGAAUUAUUGGGCGUAAAGAGCUCGUAGGCGGUCUGUCGCGUCUGGUGUGAAAACUCAGGGCUUAACCCUGAGCUUGCAUCGGGUACGGGCAGACUAGAGUGCGGUAGGGGAGACUGGAAUUCCUGGUGUAGCGGUGAAAUGCGCAGAUAUCAGGAGGAACACCGGUGGCGAGGGCGGGUCUCUGGGCCGGAACUGACGCUAAGGAGCGAAAGCGUGGGGAGCGAACAGG
rnacentral:rRNA from 1 species